rnacentral:rRNA from 1 species
GAUAAGGGGGGGCGGGAAGGCGCGGCGAGGCGAACGGUGCGAAGGUGGUUCGGAAUCACUGAGCGUAAGGGGCGCGUAGGCGGGGGGUCAGGCCCGCGGGGAAAUCCCCCGGGUCAACCGGGGGAGGGCGGCGGGGACCGGGCGUCUGGAGUGAGGUAGGGGCGUGCGGAACUGUGGGUGGAGCGGUGAAAUGCGUUGAUAUCCACAGGAACUCCGGUGGCGAAGGCGGCACGCUGGACCUUGACUGACGCUGAGGCGCGAAAGCCAGGGGAGCGAACGGGAUUAGAUACCCCAGUAGUC